rnacentral:lncRNA from 1 species
GCUCACCUGAAUCCAGAGGGUCAGAGUGUCCGGGCGACUGGGAGCUGAUGGGGGGGGAACUUGGGGGUCCCCAUGGUGGUGGCUGUGGCCAUGGUGGGGGUCCCCAUGUUGAUGAUGGGGGUCCCCAUGUUGAUGGCCAUGGCCAUGGUAGGGGUCUCUAUGGGGGUCCCCAUGGUGGUGGCCAUGAUGGGGGUCCUCAUGAUGAUGGUAGGGGUCCCCAUGGCCAUGAUGGGGGUCCCCAUGGCUGUGGUGGGGGUCCCUAUGGGGGUCCCCAUGUUGAUGGCCAUGAUGGGGGUCCCCAUGGCCAUGAUGGGGGUCCCCAUGGCCAUAGUAGGGGUCCGUAUGGGGGUCCCCAUGGCCAUAGUGGGGGUCCCUAUGGGGGUCCCCAUGUGAAUGGCCAUGGUGGGGGUCCCCAUGGCUGUGGUGGGGGUCCCUAUGGGGGUCCCCAUGUUGAUGGUGGGGGUCCCUAUGGGGGUCCCCAUGGCUGUGGUGGGGGUCUCUAUGGGGGUCCCCAUGUUGAUGGCCAUGGUGGGGGUCCCCAUGAUGAUGAUGGGGGUCCCUAUGGGGGUCCCCAUGGCCAUAAUGGGGGUCCGUAUGGGGGUCCCCAUGUUGAUGGCCAUGGUGGGGGUCCCCAUGAUGAUGGUGGGGGUCCCUAUGGGGGUCCGUAUGGGGGUCCCCAUGUUGAUGGCCAUGGUGGGGGUCCCCAUGGCCAUAGUGGGGGUCCCUAUGGGGGUCCCCAUGGCUGUGGUGGGGGUCCCUAUGGGGGUCCCCAUGUUGAUGGUGGGGGUCCCUAUGGGGGUCCCCAUGGCCAUAAUGGGGGUCCGUAUGGGGGUCCCCAUGUUGAUGGCCAUGGUGGGGGUCCCCAUGGCCAUAGUGGGGGUCCCUAUGGGGGUCCCCAUGGUGGGGGUCCCCAUGUGAGUGUCCAUGCUGGGGGUCUUCGUGUUGGUGCCCACGACUAAACAUGGCCGUCAAGGUGUGGCCGUGGCCGCUGUCCACAUGGAGCUGGUGCUGACCAUGGCCGAGGUCCUCCCGGUGAUGGCCGAGGUCCUCCCGGUGAUGGCCGAAGUCCUCCCGGUGAUGGCGGAAGUCCUCCCGGUGAUGGCGGAAGUCCUCCUGGUGAUGGCGGUCCCCGUGAGAGGCGGAAGGGAGGAGGCAGAGAGCCAGAGUGGCGGCCAUGAUGGCGGCCAUGUUGGAGGCCGCUGGUUCCCGGGGCUGGAGGACCGUCGCCAUUGAAGCUGUGGGGGGAGAUCUGCCAUUGGGGUCAAUGGUGGGACUAUAGAGAUGGGGGAGAUAGAGCGGCUAUGGGGGGAGAUCUGCCAUUGGGAUCAAUGGUGGGAUCAUAGAGAUGGGGGAGAUAGAGCGGCUAUGGGGAGAGAUCUGCCAUUGGGGUCAAUGGUGGGAUCAUAGAGAUGGGGGAGAUAGAGCGGCUAUGGGGGGAGAUCUGCCAUUGGG